UUUUUUGGGUGUGUUCCAAAUAUUUUGUUAAAUUUCCCGUCUAUUGCUGUUAUUGUUUCCAUUUAUUUGCCCAUGUGAGUUGAUACCUUUUUCAUUCCUUUCCCAUAGCUUUAGUGACGUUGUGGGAAGGGAAGUUAGGUAAGUGAUGUUUCAUCUUGUACUUACUAGACACCUUUUUCUUCCUUGAUUUCCUGAGUUCCCUGCCUCCACAGGUGUGUUUCACUCCUGGUUGCUUAUAUUUUUUUAUUUUUGAGAUGGAGUUUUGCUCUGUUGACCAGGCUGGAGUGCAGUGGCAUGAUCUCGGCUCACUGCAACCUGUGCCUCCUGGGUUCAAGCGAUUCUCCUGCCUCAGCCACCCAAAUAGCUGGGAUUACAGAUGCGCACCACCAUGCCCAGCUAAUUUUUGUAUUUUUAGUAGAGACGGGGUUUCACCAUGUUGGCCAGGCUGGUCUCGAACUCCUGACCUCAGGUAAUCCACCGUGAUCCGCCCGCCUCAGCCUCCCAAAGUGCUGGGAUUAUAGGUGUGAGCCACCGUGCCAGAACUGGACUGCUGUUUUAAAGC
rnacentral:lncRNA from 1 species